AUUGAACGCUGGCGGCAGGCCUAACACAUGCAAGUCGAACGAGUGGCGGACGGGUGAGUAAUGUCUGGGCAACUGCCUGAUGGAGGGGGAUCACUACUGGAAACGGUCGCUAAUACCGCAUACCCUCAUAUGUGCCCAGCUGGGAUUAGCUUGUUGGUGGGGUAACGGCUCACCAAGGCGACGAUCCCUAGCUGGUCUGAGAGGAGGACCAGCAAAACUGGAACGGAGAAACGGGCCAGACUCCUACGGGAGGCAGCAGUGGGGAAUAUUGGACAAUGGGCGAAAGCCGGAGACAGCCAUGCCGCGUAGAUGAAGAAGGCCUUCGGGUUGUAAAGUAAUUUCAGCGGGGAGGCGUUACCCGAAGAAGAAGCACCGGCUAACUCCGUGCCAGCAGCCGCGGUAAUAC
rnacentral:rRNA from 1 species